GCACUUCACUCGCAAUCCUGCUUCUCCACCUUCCCGGAGCCCCCGGCCAUAACACCCCGAAGGGCUUCUGGUCCUUUCAGACCCAGGUAACCCCCGCUGGAACCAGGCUCAGCCGGCAGGAAUCAGGAUCGACGGUCAGGGGCGCGACCCGGGAGGCAUUAUCCUUUUUGUCAAAACUUUCAUAAAUCCUCGUCCUGUUCUACCUGCUAUACAAAAUGUUCUCUCACUUGCCUCGUCAACCAUACCCAGGAAUUGACAACCAUACCGUGCACCUCAAACACCUCGCUUCCCCCUGCAACUUUUUGCCCUCCCCCGGGGAUCUUCAUCCUCUGCGGAACGACGGCCUAUACAUGUGUCCCCGAGAACCUUGAACAAGCCCCCUGUCUCUAUGUCUUCCUGACACCAAAUCUCUCUGUUAGAACUGAAGGCGAGCUGGAAUCAUCUCUCGCCCCGGUCUUCCCUCAUUCCAGGCGGGAGAGAGCAGCUCUUGUUCCCCUUCUUGUGGGGACAGGGGUCCUAACAGUCGUGGGAACCGGGGUCGGAGGGAUUUCUUCCUCAGUACACUUCUAUCACAAGCUCUCCACAGAAUUCUCUGAAGAUAUGGCUCUCAUAAGUGACUCCAUUGAAUCCUUACAAAGGCAGAUAGACUCGCUGGCAGCUGUGGCUCUGCAGAACCGCAGGGCCCUUGAUCUCCUCACCGCUGAGAAGGGAGGUACAUGUAUUUUCCUCGGGGAAGAAUGCUGUUAUUUUGUCAAUGAAUCAGGAAUAAUAAAAGACCAUAUAAAAACACUAAGGGACAGAAUAAGUCAGAGGCAGAGGGAGGCGACUGGGGGGAUGGCAUUCUUCGGCUCCCUAGCUCCCUGGCUCCUCCCUCUCCUGGGGCCACUAACAUCCCUACUCCUAAUCCUCCUCUUUGGCCCAUGUCUCAUAAAAUGUCUUACUAGCUUCCUCC